AACGUAGGGGGCCAGCGUUGCUCGGAAUUACUGGGCGUAAAGGGUCCGUAGGCGGUGUGGCAAGUCAGAAGUGAAAUCUCAGGGCUUAACCCUGAGGCUGCUUCUGAAACUGCCGUGCUAGAGUGCGAGAGAGGCGAGUGGAAUUGCAGGUGUAGCGGUGGAAUGCGUAGAUAUCUGCAGGAACACAAGAGGCGAAAGCGGCUCGCUGGAUCGCAACUGACGCUGAGGGACGUAAGCUAGGGGAGCAAACAGG
rnacentral:rRNA from 1 species